rnacentral:rRNA from 1 species
GUUGAACGCUGGCGGCGUGCUUAAUACAUGCAAGUCGAGCGAACAGGCGAGGAUCGUGCUGCUCUCAAGUGACCGACGGACGAGUGAUUAACCCGUGGGUGACCUGUCUAGAGGGCUGGCAUAGCGUCGGGAGGCCGGAGAUAACACACGAUAAGAUAGUGAAACGGAUGGUUCUUCAGAGAUCGACGGAUUUGCUGUGCCGUAUGCAUAGAACCGGGCCGGAUUAGCUAGUUGGUACGGUAACGGCUUACCAAGGCUACGAUGCGUAGCCGACCUGAGAGGGUGAUCAGCCACACUGGAACUGAGACACGGUCCAGACUCCUACGGGAGGCAGCAGUAGGGAAUCUUCCGCAAUGGGCGAAAGCCUGACGGAGCAACGCCGCGUGAGUGAUGAAGGUCUUCGGAUCGUAAAACUCUGUUAUUAGGGAAGAACAAAUGUGUAAGUAACUAUGCACGUCUUGACGGUACCUAAUCAGAAAGCCACGGCUAACUACGUG